GGGGUUUUAGUUUAAUUAAGACACUUGAUUUGCAAUUAAGAGAUGUGGAGUAGCAUCCGCAAGUCCUA
rnacentral:tRNA from 1 species